AACGAACGCUGGCGGCAUGCCUAACACAUGCAAGUCGAACGAGACCUUCGGGUCUAGUGGCGCACGGGUGCGUAACGCGUGGGAACCUGCCCUUAGGUUCGGAAUAACUCCCCGAAAGGGGUGCUAAUACCGGAUAAUGUCUUCGGACCAAAGAUUUAUCGCCUUUGGAUGGGCCCGCGUUGGAUUAGCUAGUUGGUAGGGUAAAAGCCUACCAAGGCGACGAUCCAUAGCUGGUCUGAGAGGAUGAUCAGCCACACUGGGACUGAGACACGGCCCAGACUCCUACGGGAGGCAGCAGUGGGGAAUAUUGGACAAUGGGCGAAAGCAUGAUCCAGCAAUGCCGCGUGAGUGAUGAAGGCCUUAGGGUUGUAAAGCGCUUUUACCCGGGAUGAUAAUCACAGUACCGGGAGAAUAAGCUCCGGCUAACUCCGUG
rnacentral:rRNA from 1 species